CACUGCGAUUGCCCUAGUAACGGCGAGUGAAGCGGCAGCAGCCCAGAUUUGGAAUCUGGCCCCCUUGCGGGGCCCGAGUUGUAAUCUGCAGAGGAAGCGUCUGGCGCGGCGCCGGCCUAGUUCCCUGGAACGGGACGCCGUAGAGGGUGACAGCCCCGUACGGUCGGCCGCCAAGCCUGUGUGUCGCUCCUUCGAAGAGUCGCGUAGUUUGGGAAUGCUGCGCAAAGUGGGAGGUAUGCUCCUCCUAAGGCUAAAUACCGGCCAGAGACCGAUAGCGCACAAGUAGAGUGAUCGAAAGAUGAAAAGUACCUUGAAAAUGGGGUUAAACAGUACGUGAAAUUGCCAAAGGGGAAGCGCUCGUGGCCAGACUCGCGCCCGGCGGAUCAUCCGGCUCUCCCGCCGGUGCACUCUGCCGGGCUCGGGCCAGCGUCGGUCGGCGCCGGUACUGAAAGGCGGUGCGAACGUGGCUCCCUUCGGGGAGUGUUAUAGCGCGCCGCGUAAUGUGCUGGCGCCGCCCGAGGACCGCGCUUUAUGCAAGGACGCUGGCGUAAUGGCCACUAGCGGCCCGUCUUGAAACACGGACCAAGGAGUCGCCCAGAGGCGCGAGUGUGCGGGUGACAAACCCCUGCGCGUAGUGAAAGCGAACGCUGGUGGGAGCCCUCACGGGCGCACCACCGACCGAUCCUGAUGUCUUCGGAUGGAUUUGAGUAUGAGCGUCUCUGGUCGGACCCGAAAGAGGGUGAACUAUGCUUGGGUAGGGUGAAGCCAGAGGAAACUCUGGUGGAGGCCCCGUUUGGGUUCUGACGUGCAAAUCGAUCCAUAAACCUGGGCAUAGCGGCGAAAGACUAA
rnacentral:rRNA from 1 species